rnacentral:rRNA from 1 species
GAUGAACGCUGGCGGCGUGCCUAAUACAUGCAAGUCGAACGAAAGCACGCGGCGCUUUGUUGUCUGGUGUCGGCGGGGGACGUGAGAGUACCACAUGGGUAACGUAGCUAUAAGAAUGUGCUAACUUCGGGAGACCAUAGCUCAUACCGGAUAUUAUUUUGAACCGGAUGGUGCAAAACUUCACGACGUUCUUGCUGCCACUUAUAGAUUGAUCCGGGUUGGAUUAGCUAGUUGGUAAGGUAACGGCUUACCAAGUCAACGAUGGGUAGCUGAACUGAGAGGGUGACCAGCCACACUGGGACUGAGACACGGCCCAGACUCCUACGGGAGGCAGCAGUAGGGAAUCUUCGGCAAUGGGCGAAAGCCUGACGGAGCAACGCCGCGUGAGUGAUGAAGGUCUUCGGAUCGUAAAACGCUGUUAUAAGGGAAGAACAGAUUUGUAAUUAACUGUGCAGAUAAUGACGGUACCGAAUCAGAAAGCCACGGCUAACUACGUG